CAAUAACCAAAAGUAAAAACGAUAUUUCUGCUCCAAAUAACCAUAAACGUAUAAUUUAAUAUUAUACGUCUAUGUAAUUAAUAACUCUCGAGUCCAAGUUGCCCAGUUGUACGAUAAUUUGCAAUACUGUGUUAAUGUUAUCUUUUUAAAUUUUAUUAUUUUAAUCUACGUACAUAUAAAAAAAUUAAUACUAAGCAAUUCAAAAUAUAAUACUUGUGCCUUAUUUAAAGUUUAAUUUAAUCUAUCUUAAAUUGUGUGUAGUUUUGUUAAUCAUACAACUAUAUACAUAAUAAUACCCUUAAUAGUUCAUGUAAUAUACAUUUAAAAUAAUUCCAUACAAUGUAAGUAGGUACCUACCUACAUAAAAAUUGUUUUCAUUUAAACUCAUAAUAAAUUUAUGUUAUAGGGCAAAUUUGUCUGACAGUAGUGUAGUAUCUUCAUCUGAUGAGGAGACAUAUGAACAUAAACAUAAAAAAUUAAAAACCCAUCAAGUUGAUGAUCGAGCUACAUCAAAAUUCUAUACUAAAGAUGAAAGUCAAGAAGAUCUUCCAUAUGUUGCUGAUGUUUUUAAAAGUAAAAAACAAAAAAAAAAAACUUUUAAAAAAAAAUCUUUACAUUCCAACAGUCAAAAAUCAUUUAAAGUAAAUUAUUAUAUUAUUCAUAAUAUUUAUUAACAAAUUAUUAAUACGCAUUACAUUUUGGUUUAUAGCAAAAUGAAACCUUACAAAUCGACGCUAGAGAUAUUAAGUAUGCUAAUAAUUAUGCUCCUAAUAAUCAUGAAAAAUCAUACUUGAACAAUCCAGUUGCAUUUAUGAAAAGUGAUGCUAAAUCAGGUAUUUAUAUAUUUAAAUAAAACUUCUAGUUACAUUUAUUCACUUUUCAAUAAUUCUUUUGUUUUUAUUAGAAUAUAAUCAUAAAAGAAAACAUUUAUCGUCUGAAGAUAGUUCAGAUAGUGACAGUAAUAACUGUUUUUCAAACUAUAGUAAACGAUUAAAGGGAGAUAAGUUUGAUGGUGCUUCUUGUUCCAAAUCACUUGAUUCCGAUUCAAAUAUAUCGGAUGACUCACUUUCAAUAACUAAACAAAAUGUAGAAAAUACUGAAAAAAGUGGCAACAAAGGAAUGUCUUUAAUGGUAACUAUUUAAAUGAGAUGGGAAGAUACAGUUAAGAGUAAAGUUGAAGGAUUUGUAGGCUGACCAAACUAGAAGGUUUUGCUAAUGAAUAGAGAUAGAUCGAGAAUUGAUUGUAAGACGGGAUAGUCCUAGUGGCAACAGGCCCCCACCCCCAAAAAAAAUAAAAAUAAAUUUAAAUUGAUUUAUAACUAUUACACUUUUAAUGAGAAAUAACAUAAUUAUACAUAUAUCUUUUUAUUUCUAGAAAAAAAUUGGUUAUAAAGAAGGUGAAGGACUAGGGAAAAAUGCACAAGGAUUGGUUGAUCCAGUACAGUUACCUACUCAAAAAGGUCGUAGAGGUUUGGGUUUUGCAUCACGAGAACCUAGAGAAUCAUUCGUUUUGGAUUGGGAUCCCGAACAAGAAGAAGUAAAUAUAAAUUUUAAAACUGAAGAAAAUAACUUUUUUUUUAAACUUUUAAAAUUAAGUCUACAGACAUUUUAAAAGUUACGGAAUGGUUAGAAAAUGAAAAUCCAUUGAUAUUUUCAUUUGAAGAUAUGAUUGAUUGGAUUCAAACUGGUGAAAAAAAAUUGACUUACAAUCAAACCACUGAGUUUGCAGAUUCAGAAAUUUUCAAAGUAGUUAAUUCUAGCAAGGUAAAUUUUUACACUUUUUAUAAUAGCUUACUUUUUUUUAAUUAUAAUUUAAUUUACUUUUUAUAGAAUGUUUUGGAUAAUAUUAAUGAUCAUGAUUUUCGUCAUGCUAGAGCUAAAGCAAAUCCAUUUGAGACAAUCAAAAAUGGUAUAUUCCAAAACCGAGCUGCAAUGAAAAUGGCCAAUAUCGAUUGGGCAUGCGAUUUUAUGUUCACUGAUCCUAAAUAUAGUGAUGAUGUAUAUAAUAUAUUAUUGAUUGAUAACAUUUAUUUUGUAUUAAUAUUAUUCAAUAUAAUUUUAGUCAUCUAUGUUAUCAAGACCUAGUAGUUUACUUUACUUUGCUGAUAUUUGUGCUGGACCAGGUGGAUUUUCUGAGUAUGUGCUGUGGCGAAAAAGUUGGAAAGCCAAAGGUGUUGGAUUUACAUUACGUAAUGCAAAUGAUUUCAAAUUAAAUGAUUUUUUUGCUGGUUCUCCUGAGUCAUUUGAAGCUUUUUAUGGUAAUUAUUAUAUAACAAUGAAUUUAAUAAACCAUCAGUGAUUUAAUCAUUUACUCAAAUAGUCUUACGUAUAUAUUGAGAUGUGUAAAAUAUUUAUAUACUGUUACCAUACCUUUUUACCUUACAAAUCUACUUAAUAUAAUUUGAAUUUAAAUAUUUUAACGAAAUUAUAAAUAUGUCUAAUAAAAUAAGUAUUUAUUAUUAUAUUUUUUUUAAAAGCAUGUCCUUGUAAAUUAUUAACCAAAUAGUCUUAAAUUUGUUAAUUUGUAUUUAUUCUUUACUGACAAAACAUUUUAAAAAAUAGUAACUAAGGUCACAACUUGUUCAAUAAUAUGAUAUCUCUUAUAUUUCAAAAAAAAUGUUACAUAUAUACAGCCAGCUUGCGAUAUAACAAAUUUCAAGAGACCAAAAAAAAAUAAAUUUGGUAUACCAAAGGCAUAAACCAACAAAUUUUGUUUUAACAAAAUUUAAAUUAACACAUUUUAAACACAUAUUAAUUUUCAUUGAAUAAUAUUUUUACACAUAUAUUAUAUAUAUAAUAUAUAUAUUUAUAUGUAUACAGUAAAAUCACAAUAGGUAUGAAAUGCAAAACGUUUUUGAGCAUGCAGUCGCUUUUGACAUAGCAACGAAACUGAAUUAUUACAUAAUAAAUAGUUAUAUAAAGCAUAUUUUUGAAAAAUUUUUGUAUUAUACAUUUAUUGACAUUUUAUCUUAUCUGAAUAUCGAUAAUACUAGAAUACUAGAAUAGUACUAGAAAAACUGAGUAAUGGCAAGCCAUUUAUUUUUAUUAGUUAUAACAGUUAUGUACUUUUUAUUGAUUCAUAAUACACUAGCAGACGUGUAUCUUAUUUUAAUAUAAAUUAAAAAUUAGUAAUAUUAAGCAAAAAAAUUGUAAAAAUUUGUUAUGUCGCAAGAAUUUUGACCAAAAAAACUUAUUGAGGGAACCAAAAUAUUUUUAAUUUUAGAUUUUAUCAUGAGCUUUUCUAGGGAACAGUAAUUUCAUUCAUUAUAUUGUGUAUUGAUUAUAAUAUAAUGUAAAUAUUUGGUGUAAAUAAGAUUACAAUGAAUUACUAAAUCUUGUUCAAUUCCAUUUUAUUUAGUUAUACUUAUAAUCAAUAAUGAUUUUUUGAUUUGAGUCUUCUUCAUUCUGAUUUGUUAUUAAUAUUUUCUUAACAAUUUUGAAACCUAUAAGGUAAAAAUUACUAUGAAAAAUAAUAACUCCCUAUUAUAUUUGAUUGAAUAUAGAAAGUAUAAUUCAUUUAACUGCAAAAUAUGUUUCAAUUUGUAGAUAUUUAAUAUUUUGUAUAUAUUGUUUAAAUUAAAUGAAUACCACUUAUUGUAAUCAAUAUCUUAUCUCGUUUAUGAAUGACUUAUUAUAUUAAUUUUAAUAAACUUCUAAAAAAUAAACAUUUUUUUAGAAUAUAUAUGUAUAUAUGUAGAUAGGCAGUUAAUAAAAAAAUAUUAUUUUUAGUAAAAUAACUAUUUUAUAAUUUAGGUGAUGAUAAUAGUGGUGAUGUAUAUAAACCAAAAAACAUUGUCUCAUUAGAAAAUUAUGUUAUGAAGAUGACUGAGGGAGAGGGUGUUCAUUUUGUUAUGGCUGAUGGUGUAAGAAUUAACUUUAAUAUUAUAGUUAUUUGCCAUCUUUAAUUUACUUUAUUACUGUUUUUAGGGGUUUUCUGUUGAAGGUCAAGAAAGUUUUCAGGAGAUUUUGUCUAAACGACUGUAUUUAUGUCAAGUUUUGGCUGCCUUGAGUAUUCUGCGCCCUGAUGGACAUUUCAUGUGCAAAGUAUUUGAUAUAUUUACUGAAUUUAGUGCUGGAUUAUUGUUCCUUUUAUAUCAUUGUUUUAAACAAAUUAGUAUUUAUAAACCAGUUACAAGUCGACCAGCAAACUCUGAAAGGUUAUUUGAUGAUAAUGAAUUUAAGUAAUUUAAUUUUUAAAUUUAAAAAAAAAAUGUAUGUAUAGAUAUGUGAUUUGUAAAUGGAGAUUAGAUGAUAUACAAGACAUAAAAAAAUAUUUAUUUAAUGUAAAUUUAACUUGGGAUGGAUUAGAAUCAAAAGAAGAUAUUUUAUCAAUUGUUCCAUUGCAAAUUAUUCUCAAAGAUUCAUAUUUUUUUAAAUAUCUAUGGGAUUCUAAUAAUAAGUAAGUAAAGUUAUAUUAAUAUUUUAUUUAGUUUUGUAUGUUAUAUAUUUUUAUCUCCAAAGAAGUGGGAAUUAAGUCAAUUUUGUAUAGUUUUCAAUAAAAGCAAAUUAAAUUUUGAAAAAAUAUAUAUUUAUACAUAAAAUAAUACUCUUCAUAUACUAAUUUUAAAAAUACAUACACUUAUGCAAUUGAGAGAAAAUAAUUAUAAAAAAAAAAAAUAAAUAAAUGCCAUCAACUAUGUAUUUCUUCCUUAUUACCAAAUAUUUAUUAUAAUAGAUUUAAUCUUGAAAUGUGUAUUUUAUUUAGAUUAGGACAAAUUCAAUCAUUAGGUUUGUCAAAGAUUGUAGCUUAUACUAAAGAUCAACGUUUAGCUGAUGAAAGACAAAAAGACCUAAAAAAAAAAUGUUUAGAACUAUGGGAAGUUAAAGACGGUGUAAGACGUGCACCUUUUAGAAGUGAUCCUCAAGAUUUUUGUAAUUCUAUUGUUGCUGGAUCAAAGAGUAAUCAUAUUUUUAUGAAUUAUUUUUCACUUUAAAUAAUAUUUUACUUUAUUUAGAUUUCUUACAGUCAUCUCUAGAAGUCUUAAACAAAAACAGUUUACAAAAAUAUGUUAAAUCUGUAUAUGAUUGGCAUUGUGUUUUACUCAAUAUUUCUAAACCUCCUACUUUUUUUUUAAGUAUGUUCCAACUAUUAAAUGUUGUUUAAUUAAAUAAUUAAUUAUUAACUGAUUUUUAAUGUUACAGGUUUAGGUGGAAGUCAAGUAUAUGAAUUAGUUCAAAAUCAAUGGGUCAGUAAUGAAUAUUUAAAAAAUGUUACAAUGAGCCCUGGUACACUUGUUUAUGGUGAACUUGCUACUGAAAUAGAAGGUGAAAACUUAGGGCAACUUAGAGUACGAGUAUUGCAUAUUAUAGAUGCAUAUAAACUUGGUAACAUUGACAUUAGUAAUGAACAUUAUUUAUCGAGGUAACUUUUGUAAUUUAUUUAUCAAAUGGUUAUUAUUAUAUUGUUAUAUUAUUGAUCCAGGGUUGAGUAUUGUAAGGAAUUUGCCAAGUCCAUGAAUAAAAUUCAGUCAGAACAAAUAAAAAUUAGAGUAAAGGAACCUAUAUAUUUAGAAAAUAUUAAAGAUAUAUUUGAUAAAAUUGAUCUCAGAUGGUCCAAGUCUCAUCGUAAACCUGUUAAGAUGUUCAUGCUGGAUAGUAAUAAAUAUUGUUGUGCAUCUGGAAUAUUAUUUAUCAAAGCAACAUUAAGUAAUGCAUUUAUUAAUAUUAAUAUUAAUAUAAUUAUAUAUUUUUUAAAUUGUCACUUGUUUUUCAUUAUUAAUUAUUAAUUAUAGAUCCAUGGGUUAGGGCAUUAUCUCGUACUUAUAAUACAAUGUACUAUGGCCAUCCAACAAUGAAAGCUAUAUAUGAAGAAGGGAAUCCUGUAGCAGCAUAUGCUCCUUUUAGGUAAAAAUUCCUCCUGCUAAAAAUAUAUAACUGAAGUUAUAAUUUUAAAUAUUUAUUUAACAGGGAAUGUUGUAGUACUAAUAAGGUUUGGUACUGGAUGGAUGAAUUUGGAAAUCCAUUAAAAACAUCAGAUUCAACAUUACAAUUAGAACAAGAAGAUUUUGAUUUAUUUUUGAAGUGAUUUAAUUUAUUCUGAAUAUUUAUCCUACAAGAUUAUUUUGUGUUUAAUAAAUUUAAGUUUAUUGUGUCAA